rnacentral:miRNA from 1 species
GAAAGAGAGCUGAGGGUC